UACGUAGGGUGCGAGCGUUGUCCGGAAUUAUUGGGCGUAAAGGGCUCGUAGGCGGUCUGUCACGUCGGGAGUGAAAACUCAGGGCUUAACCCUGAGCCUGCUUCCGAUACGGGCAGACUAGAGGUAUGCAGGGGAGAACGGAAUUCCUGGUGUAGCGGUGAAAUGCGCAGAUAUCAGGAGGAACACCGGUGGCGAAAGCGGCUUCCUGGUCCAGCACCGACGUUCAGGCACGAAAGCGUGGGGAGCAAACAGG
rnacentral:rRNA from 1 species